GUAAGUGGAAAAAUUGAGACAAAACUGUUAAGUAAUGUGGCUUUCAUAGUACCUUAAAAAAAAAAUGAGGACUCUAAGGUGAAGGAAUUCACUUCUCUGAAUUAGGAGGAAAAAUAAAUAAGUUUAUACUUAGCAAAAAUACAAAAUACAGCCCAGAUAAAAAGCAAAUCGCCUUUAGAUAACUACGGAAUCAAAAGUGUUAAUAGUUGUUUCCAAAUUCUGUGACUUAUUGAUUCUUAGUCUACCUCAUUUGGUAGGACAUCUCAGCAAUGCAUUUGUGGGCAUUUAUCUCCACAUUCCUCCUGAAUGAAGGCCAGAGGCAAAUGAGAGGAAUCAGAAAGCAGGAGAAAACAUAAAAUGGAAGAUUGAAGCCUAAACACAAGAAAAGAGAACAGUGUAUGAGAGAACACAGAGACAGUGCUGUGGACAUACAUCAGAAUUGGGAUGGUCCCAGUUCUGCCCUUUGAAGAUGACAGUAUCAAUUCCUGGAAGAAAGGGAGGAGUCAUGCGUGUAGAUGAGCAAAGUUCCAUUUUAGGACAAC